GUAGUUCCCAACCUUUGGUCUUCCAGAUGAUCACAAAGCUGCUUUCCCAGGAUGAGGCUCAUUCAUUGCACUCCAGGUGUGCUGACCCCUGUGAUUUACCCAAAUGCGGGAAACUCGACUGCAUAAUUUGUGGCAAACAGAUAUUAACACCACCUUUUCAUCAAC